GGCGUCGGGGGGCUGCUGACCGCUUGCUCCCGAGGCGGUGGCAUGGCGGGGCUGUUGGGAAAACGACUGGAAGAGAAAACAGAUAUGACAGCUACAUUUGGAUGAGUGACAAUUAUAAACGGACCGGAGCGGAGGGUGACCAGUUUGCAUCAAACGGAUCUUCCUGUUGGUUCGGUAGCAAAGAAAUUGAUAACUCACUCCUUGGGAUGCACAAGAGUCAAUUCAUUCAAAUGUUAUCGUGCUGCUGUUCCCCAAGAAACCGACAGUCAAUAAGUACUCCUAAGGAAAAAGAGAAGGAUAUGAAAGGCCUUCAGAAGUCUCUUAAAAUACCAAAGCAGAAAUUCAAUCAGGUAGAAGACAUGAUAGGUCCAAGUGGAAGUGCAUCAGUAGCAACAAAUUUACUCUUAAUCCUUUUAAGAUGAAAGUAAAUCUGAUACCUCUAAAUUGGAAGGACCAUUAAUACUCAAUGAGUCUAAAAUAAAACAUUCAACGAGACAAAAUCAGAUUCAACAAGAACAUAAUUUGUUUAGUGAGACUGAAAACAAAAGAAAUCUCUGCUGAGAUUUUAAAAUUAAAUAAAUGGCACAAAUAAUAUUAGUAAAAGAACAUUAAGAUCCAGGAAAUUCAUACAGUGUUACUUGGUUCAACAAAGAUCGAUGAUGAAAGUUUGAUUUUAUAUAUCACAUCCUAGGAAAGUAGUGUGAAGGAGAUGGUUGAGCAUCAUACCAGUAUAACUUCACUAUCCAUAGAUAGAUUCUAUAAAGGUGGUAAAAGGCUGUAAAAAGGUAGCCAAAGUUUCAUCACAUUUAGAAAAGGAGAAACCUAUGAAGAAUAGGUCUAGAGCACAGCAGAUAGCAGCAGAAAGCAGCAGAUAGAAAAUUUGAGAUUGAAGAGUUGUAAUUUCACUUUGUCAGAAAUACAGAGAACUCAAGUGUCUGUCAAAAUUUCAGGGGGAGCUUUAAAAGUGAAGCAAAAAAAGCAGGGAGUAAUAUCAAGAUCUAGAAAUGCGAAAAAGUGAAUGUUUCGCACAGAUGAAAAAAAUCUGCACAGAUUGCCAGGAAACCUCCAGUCAAAGGAGGUCCCUCUUAUGAUUUAGCAUCAGGAAGAAAACUAAUAAGGAAUUGCAUACAUUUAGCCCUUUGCUGAAUGAAACAGAUAUAUCACGGAGAGAGAAUGAAAAGGAAUAUAUGUUAAGAUUUUGAAAUAGAAGCAAAGGUGAUAACAAAAUCACAAGAAUCUUCCGGUAGUUUAGUUAUUUUUCUUUCACAAAAGAGAUGAGGUGUUAAUAAGAAUGAAGAGAAUUGUGAAUAAAGGAAAUUCUCCUUUGAGAUAUAGAAACAAAUUAAAAAUAAGGAAAUGUUCUCUAGUGAGUCACAUAUAUAAAGCAUGCACA
rnacentral:lncRNA from 1 species